CGGCAGCACGGGGGCAACCCUGGUGGCGAGUGGCGAACGGGUGAGUAAUACAUCGGAACGUGUCCUGUAGUGGGGGAUAGCCCGGCGAAAGCCGGAUUAAUACCGCAUACGCUCUACGGAGGAAAGGGGGGGAUCUNAGGACCUCCCGCUACAGGGGCGGCCGAUGGCAGAUUAGCUAGUUGGUGGGGUAAAGGCCUACCAAGGCGACGAUCUGUAGCUGGUCUGAGAGGACGACCAGCCACACUGGGACUGAGACACGGCCCAGACUCCUACGGGAGGCAGCAGUGGGGAAUUUUGGACAAUGGGCGAAAGCCUGAUCCAGCAAUGCCGCGUGUGUGAAGAAGGCCUUCGGGUUGUAAAGCACUUUUGUCCGGAAAGAAAACCUCCGCCCUAAUAUGGUGGGGGGAUGACGGUACCGGAAGAAUAAGCACCGGCUAACUACGUGCCAGCAGCCGCGGUAAUACGUAGGGUGCAAGCGUUAAUCGGAAUUACUGGGCGUAAAGCGUGCGCAGGCGGUCCGCUAAGACANAUGUGAAAUCCCCGGGCUUAACCUGGGAACUGCAUUUGUGACUGGCGGGCUAGAGUAUGGCAGAGGGGGGUAGAAUUCC
rnacentral:rRNA from 1 species